AAAUGGAAAAAGGAAAUAGUGGCUUCAGAUGCAGAGGCCAGCCAAGCAGUAGAUACACAUUGAAACAUGUAAAUUUGUUCCCAAUAUUACGGCCAUGGCGCAUGUGACUCCAUGUGGCGCAACAGAAGACCGGUCAGACAACCACUGGAGAGUGGAGACCUCAGUUCUCAGCUACACAGCUGUGUAUGUGUGAGUGUGUGUUGGAAGCUUCAUGCUCAUGAGCCUGGUGUCAACUCACGUGUGCAGUGCACGAGCUUGGACUGAUGCCUGGUGGAUUGCUCCCAGCAGCACCCAUAUGUAGGCAGAAAUAAUUAGUGAGGCGGCAGUAGCGCAUGCGUGCUCUUGUUCUGCUGCUCAGGCUCAGCUGGGCGCCGCUGCAUUUCUGUCUCUGCAUAUCUGGAACUGGAAGUCAGAUAGUUGACGUCCCACAUGCUUUAUUAUAUAAUGCAUAUAUCUGUAUUACUGUACAUAGACACUUGUAUUUAAGGCGAUGGAGAAGGGUGGUUGUUUGGAUGAAAAAUAGUUCUGUUAUGAAGUUAAUAUAUAUCGGCUUGAUAUUAAGUAUUAGUUUAGGAUUUAAUAAGUUGAUUUGUACUACUAUCUUGCCUUUGAAUGUUUUCUUCUCUAAUCUCUAGCUUUCAAUGAUUUCUAAUGUUGACUUGCAUGCUUACUUGCAGUUUUUCGAAGAUAUGGUAGUGUCUGCCUUUCAUCCGUCGGGCUACAGGUGCCCCUGCAGCCCCAUGGCAGCAUGAAAGAGAAAGAGGCCAUGCACAUGUGACAUGUGGAGUGUGUAAGAGUUUGGGGAAAAAAAAGAGUGGUGGUGGUAAAUUCACAUCUUUACACCUCCUUUUACGAGCACUGACUUUAAUCAGGUCUCCCUUAAUGCUCUGCGCCCUGACCCACACCCCUCACUCAGAGGAAAUGUUCUCUGAUAAGUUUCCCAUGGCUGGCCAGGCUAGGUGAAGAAGAUCUCUAUUUAAUCAGGUACAUCCAACUGGCCAUAAUGUGAUGCUGCGCUAAAAUCAAAUAGUACUUGCAGCUCUUCUCGAUUCAGCAAGGAACAUGCAUAAACAGUAGUCUAUAUUCACGUGAGCUCAAUUCAUAGUCUACCUAGCUAGUUUCAUACUGUAGUUGCAUGGCCUUAUGCUGUUGCUUGCAUCUUUUUCAUUUAAGUAAUCAUGAAUGGUUUUGUGGCAUAUAACAGUGUUCCAAAAACGGCCAGUUACCAUUUACGGCCGGGUGCAGGCCCAAAAUUUUGAACCACCCGCCCAGCAUUUCUCAAGAAAAAAUGACCUGGUAAAAAUGUCUGAGACCUCUCUGUUCAAAAUUUCUGCUGACAGUUUCUAGUAACCUUACUUUAAAUGUGCAAAACAAAUAAUUUCAAAUAUUCGAAAACUUAGAAAGAUGGUAAAGCAGCAACUUCCCCCAAUGACAAGUGGUUGAAUAGCCAGGUUGUCGCUUUAUAUUGUAACAAAGUUGCAUGAAGCAAAAAAAAAAAAAGCUCGGAUGAUCUGAUUUAUAAACCUAUUCCAGCAGAAAAAUCUGAUACACAAAAUAAUUGAGCCCAAGGAUCUCAAGGAAACCAACGAAAACUGUUAGAUCCUCUUGUCCAAAGAGCUUGGUCUUUUCUAAUUUGCCAUAGCUUGGUCUUUUCUAAUUUGCCAUGCAUGAUGCCAUCAGCUUAUUUUUUGGCCUCGUACAUAUGCAUGUAAGAACAAAGGAUGCUCUCACUUUUAUCUAAUAUGUAAUGUGACGAUCCACUGCACAGCUAGCUCAUCAUUUCUCUCUUUUGUUUUCUUGGGGUGUUUAUAUGAUGCAGCCAGUCAAAGAUAGAUCUGGACCUGCCCAGUCGCCACAAAUGCAGUGGGCCACAUGUGGGAUGGGGAAAGGUCAUGUGAUCUACUCAUAAAAUGUCUCUGCAAGCACAUCACGUACACAGCUUUGUCAUAUAUGGAACAGAAUCUUCCAAGAUAUUCAAAUUCUACAGCCAAUUGCCACACCACACGAAUGCGUCUGUUGAUCAUCACAAAUAAAUGCUUGCACGUUAAAUUUGCCUCCAAUCUCCCAGUGGGUUAUGACUUAUGAUUUAUUUUAUGCUUAGGUGCUAAAGCUGAUUGCAGCUACUGAGCUAGAUAAUGCAAGAUGUUUGCCAUCAAGCCGUUCACACCUCAUUGAUGGCUUGAUGCCUGCCCUGAAUUUGAUGCAUG